UCCUCUUCUCCGUACUCUCU
rnacentral:sRNA from 1 species